rnacentral:rRNA from 1 species
UGUGCUACAAUGGCGCAUACAAAGAGAAGCGACCUCGCGAGAGCAAGCGGAACUCAUAAAGUCUGUCGUAGUCCGGAUUGGAGUCUGCAACUCGACUCCAUGAAGUCGGAAUCGCUAGUAAUCGUAGAUCAGAAUGCUACGGUGAAUACGUCCCGGGCAUGUACACACCGCCCCACC